rnacentral:rRNA from 1 species
AGAUUGAACGCUGGCGGCAGGCCUAACACAUGCAAGUCGAGCGGUAGAGAGGUGCUUGCACCUCUUGAGAGCGGCGGACGGGCGAGUAAUGCCUAGGAAUCUGCCUAGUGGUGGGGGAUAACGUUCGGAAACGGACGCUAAUACCGCAUACGUCCUACGGGAGAAAGCGGGGGACCUUCGGGCCUCGCGCCAUUAGAUGAGCCUAGGUCGGAUUAGCUAGUUGGUGAGGUAAUGGCUCACCGAAGGCGACGAUCCGUAACUGGUCUGAGAGGAUGAUCAGUCACACUGAACUGA